UGGGGAAUUUUGCACAAUGGGGGAAACCCUGAUGCAGCGACGCCGCGUGAUUUAGAAGGCCUUCGGGUUGUAAAAAUCUUUUCUAUGGGAAGAAAAUGACAGUACCAUAGGAAUAAGGACCGGCUAAUUACGUGCCAGCAGCCGCGGUAAUACGUAGGUCCCGAGCGUUGUCCGGAUUUAUUGGGCGUAAAGCGAGCGCAGGCGGUUAGAAAAGUCUGAAGUGAAAGGCAGUGGCUCAACCAUUGUAGGCUUUGGAAACUGUUUAACUUGAGUGCAGAAGGGGAGAGUGGAAUUCCAUGUGUAGCGGUGAAAUGCGUAGAUAUAUGGAGGAACACCAGUGGCGAAGGCGACUCUCUGGUCUGUAACUGACGCUGAGGCUCGAAAGCGUGGGUAGCAAACAGG
rnacentral:rRNA from 1 species